rnacentral:tRNA from 1 species
GAGGUCUUGGCUUAAUUAAAGUGUUUGAGUUGCAAUCAGAAGAUGUAUCGUUUAUACAGGCCUUCAGAA